rnacentral:piRNA from 1 species
UAGCAUUCAUGUGUUUUUCAGGCAGUGAAGA